AAUGAACGCUGGCGGCGUGCCUAACACAUGCAAGUCGAACGAGAAAUCCUGACUUCGGUUGGGAGAGUAAAGUGGCGCACGGGCGAGUAACGCGUGGGUAAUCUGCCCCUAAAUCUGGGAUAACUUCGCGAAAGUGUUGCUAAUACCGGAUAUCGUCCCUUAGGCUGUGGCCUUUGGGAUGAAAGGUGACCUAUUCAUGAAAGUUGCCGUUUAGGGAGGAGCUCGCGUACCAUUAGCUUGUUGGUGGGGUAAUGGCCUACCAAGGCUACGAUGGUUAGCUGGUCUGAGAGGAUGAUCAGCCACACUGGAACUGAAACACGGUCCAGACUCCUACGGGAGGCAGCAGUGAGGAAUUUUGCGCAAUGGGGGAAACCCUGACGCAGCAACGCCGCGUGAGUGAUGAAGAUUUUCGGAUCGUAAAGCUCUGUCAAGUGGGAAAAAAUACUUACGGUCAAUAGCCGUAAGGAUUGAUGGUACCACUGGAGGAAGCACCGGCUAACUCCGUG
rnacentral:rRNA from 1 species